rnacentral:rRNA from 1 species
UACGAAGGGGGCUAGCGUUGUUCGGAAUUACUGGGCGUAAAGCGCGCGCAGGCGGUCUUCCAAGUCAGUGGUGAAAGCCCGGAGCUCAACUCCGGAAUUGCCAUUGAAACUGUGAGACUGGAGUACGAGAGAGGUGAGUGGAAUUCCCAGUGUAGAGGUGAAAUUCGUAGAUAUUCGGAAGAACACCAGUGGCGAAGGCGGCUCACUGGACUGGUAUUGACGCUGAGGUGCGAAAGCGUGGGGGAGCAAACAGG